rnacentral:rRNA from 1 species
UACGUAGGGUGCAAGCGUUGUCCGGAUUUAUUGGGUUUAAAGGGUGCGUAGGCGGCCCGUUAAGUCAGUGGUGAAAGCCUCCAGCUCAACUGGAGAACUGCCAUUGAUACUGCCGGGCUUGAGUACAGACGAGGUUGGCGGAAUUGCUUGUGUAGCGGUGAAAUGCAUAGAUACAAUCAAGAACUCCGAUUGCGUAGGCAGCUAACUAGGCUGUAACUGAGGCUGAGGCACGAAAGCGUGGGGAGCGAACAGG